GACGGAAGGUGCAAGCGUUGCUCGGAAUCACUGGGCGUAAAGGGUGCGUAGGCGGCUUGGUGGGUCUGGUGUGAAAGCCCCGGGCUCAGCCCGGGAAGGGCACUAGAAACUGCCGAGCUGGAGUGCCGGAGGGGAGAGUGGAAUUCCUGGUGUAGCGGUGAAAUGCGUAGAUAUUAGGAGGAACACCGGUGGCGAAGGCGCCACUCUGGGCCGAAACUGACGCUGAGGAGCGAAAGCAUGGGUAGCAAACAGG
rnacentral:rRNA from 1 species